AAUAGAGAGAGAGAUGAUAGAUGAAUGGGGGGAUGGAUAGAUAGAUAGAUAGAUAGAUAGUAAGUAUACUUAGUUAAGAAGACAGCAAAUUGAAAAGAAAGGACUGAGAAUAACAACAUGAGACAUUUCUGUUCUUCCUUUCUUGCUAUUUCACCUUAUUCAGGACUUUGGUCUGAAUGGAAAUGUGGACACAGCCUUAACUGUCGUGGUCGAUGACCAUUGGAAGAGGAUUCGCAGUGCCUUGUCUCCCACUUUCACCAGUGGGAGGCUGAAGGAGAUGAUGCCCAUCAUCAACCAUUACAAUGAAAUUUUGGAGAAGAACAUUCAGAAGAAAGUGGAGAAUGAUGAAAUCAUAGAUAUGAAGCUGAUCUUCUCAGCCUACAG